CGGGUGAGUAACGCGUGAGCAAUCUGCCUUUGGAUGGGGGAUAACAGCCGGAAACGGCUGCUAAUACCGCAUAAUGCAACGGGAUCGCAUGGUUCUAUUGCCAAAGAUUUAUUGUCCAAAGAUGAGCUCGCGUCUGAUUAGCCAGUUGGCGGGGUAACGGCCCACCAAAGCGACGAUCAGUAGCCGGACUGAGAGGUUGAACGGCCACAUUGGGACUGAGACACGGCCCAGACUCCUACGGAAGGCAGCAG
rnacentral:rRNA from 1 species